ACCAACCAGGGAUUGCCCUAGUAACGGCGAGUGAAGCGGCAACAGCUCAAAUUUGAAAUCUGGCUCUUUUAGAGUCCGAGUUGUAAUUUGCAGAGGGCGCUUUGGCGUUGGCAGCGGUCCAAGUUCCUUGGAACAGGACGUCACAGAGGGUGAGAAUCCCGUACGUGGUCGCUAACCUUCGCCGUGUAAAGCCCCUUCGACGAGUCGAGUUGUUUGGGAAUGCAGCUCUAAAUGGGAGGUAAAUUUCUUCUAAAGCUAAAUACUGGCCAGAGACCGAUAGCGCACAAGUAGAGUGAUCGAAAGAUGAAAAGCACUUUGGAAAGAGAGUCAAAUAGCACGUGAAAUUGUUAAAAGGGAAGCGCUUGCAGCCAGACUUGCCUGUAGUUGCUCAUCCGGACUUUUGUCCGGUGCACUCUUCUAUAGGCAGGCCAGCAUCAGUUUGGGCGGUUAGAUAAAGGUCUCUGUCAUGUACCUCCUUUCGGGGAGGCCUUAUAGGGGAGACGACAUGUAACCAGCCUGGACUGAGGUCCGCGCAUUUAUGCUAGGAUGCUGGCGUAAUGGCUGUAAGCGGCCCGUCUUGAAACACGGACCAAGGAGUCUAACAUCUAUGCGAGUGUUUGGGUGUCAAGCCCGAACGCGUAAUGAAAGUGAACGGAGGUGGGAACCCUUUAGGGUGCACCAUCGACCGAUCCUGAUGUCUUCGGAUGGAUUUGAGUAAGAGCAUGGCUGUUGGGACCCGAAAGAUGGUGAACUAUGCUUGAAUAGGGUGAAGCCAGAGGAAACUCUGGUGGAGGCUCGCAGCGGUUCUGACGUGCAAAUCGAUCGUCAAAUUUGGGCAUAGGGGCGAAAGACUAAUCGAACUAUCUAGA
rnacentral:rRNA from 1 species